rnacentral:lncRNA from 1 species
UAUAUACUUCUGUAAGGGAAAAGAUCAAGUUGAGCACCGUCUGGAACUCCUUCAUGGUACCUGCCUCUUCUAAGAAAUCAAGAUUCCAUUCACAUGCAGAAUCUUUGCAGUUUUGAAGGUAUCGUAUGUGCAAGCAUGGUGGUUGGUGUAUUUUUUUUCUCCCAAAGCAUUUGUUUGAAUUUAGUCUCCAGUGCAGCAGUUGGAGGUAGGGAUCAAGCAGAGAGGAUUGGACUGUGGGACUGUGAGCUCACAACUGGAUCAAUGCAGUUUUUAUGUAGAAUCAGAACAGACAAAGUGAGACAGAUUCCACCCGAGUGAUGGGAGGCAACUGAGGACAAACCAAAGGAUGAUUCGUU